AAACUCUGUGCUCGCAUUGUCUCUUGCACUAACCUAGCAACAAAUUAUCCUAUAUAGGAUGGCCUUCUUAAGCGCUAGACACAAAAAAUCAAAUCCUAAUAAACUAUAGUCAAAUAAGGGCAAUAUCUUGACCAAUCAACAUCUUGUAUAUUGUUGACGAAAGCAAUUACAAGAUAAUCAUGGUCGAAAUCACAGGUGAAAAUCAAUUAAUCAGAUCUAGGAUUACAUCAACUCAUAGAAUAAUCUACAAAACUGCAAUCCAAUUGCUUUUCAAAUCAGACAAAAAAAAAAAAAAAAAAAUCUUCAGCCUUAGAAGAAAUAUACUAGUCAAAGAGGAAGGUCGUACAGGUGGCGGAGACUACCUCAUACACGGGAUGCAACGGCGGGGGGGGGGG
rnacentral:misc_RNA from 1 species